rnacentral:rRNA from 1 species
CAACCGGGGGAUUGCCUUAGUAACGGCGAGUGAAGCGGCAAAAGCUCAAAUUUGAAAUCUAGCACUUUCAGUGUUCGAGUUGUAAUUUGAAGAAGGUAACUUUGGAAUUGGCUCUUGUCUAUGUUCCUUGGAACAGGACGUCACAGAGGGUGAGAAUCCCGUGCGAUGAGAUGUCCAAUUCUAUGUAAAGUGCUUUCGAAGAGUCGAGUUGUUUGGGAAUGCAGCUCUAAGUGGGUGGUAAAUUCCAUCUAAAGCUAAAUAUUGGCGAGAGACCGAUAGCGAACAAGUACAGUGAUGGAAAGAUGAAAAGAACUUUGAAAAGAGAGUGAAAAAGUACGUGAAAUUGUUGAAAGGGAAGGGCUUGAGAUCAGACUUGGUAUUUUGUGUUCCUUAUCCUUCUUGGAUUAGGUUCCUCACAGCUUACCGGGCCAGCAUCGGUUUGGAUGGCAGGAUAAUGACAUUGGAAUGUAGCUUUGCUUCGGUGAAGUGUUAUAGACUUUGUUGAUACUGCCUAUCUAGACCGAGGACUGCGUCUUUUGACUAGGAUGCUGGCGUAAUGAUCUUAAUCCGCCCGUCUUGAAA